UUCCGCUGGCGUCAGGCGGGUGGGCUGCUGCGAUCACUUCCCGGUUGGGGCGCCGAGCUCCGGAGUCGGCCGCCAGCCUUUGGGCCCCACGCUCCGGGUCUGGUGCGCGGUCUGGCCGCGCUCGGGCCCUCGCCAAAUGAGAGCGCAGCGCCUCUCCGCCUUCGGAUCCAGAGAAAGAGCUUGUUGCUGCCUCUAAAAGGUUGGAGCCUUAGUAAGCGGUUCCUGCCUUUCCUGCACAGACCAGACCGCCGGGUGCUGGUCUGCGCUCUGCCGCGCGCCGACUGGGACAGCCCACCCACGAGAUCCUUGUUCCUGAAAUCCCUUUCCUUCCCUCAUCUGCCAAGAAAACUUUCAACUUUUGGGCUCUCCGCGCCUCCCAAGCUUCCUCGAAUCCCUGGGCCCUUGACUGUUCUGCCCUGAUGGCACUUGGUGAGAGAUCCAUUGAGAGCCCUUUCCGUGCCUUCCUGAAUAUUGAUAUGUUUUCCAGCCUCUCCUCCUGCGCUGGCCCAAGGACUCAUUUUCCGUCCCUGCUUCCUCACUAAAAAGAGGGUGCCCAAUAAUUGCUUGUUCCAUACAGAAGGCAGGGAGGCCGUCUCUAGGUUUUCUCCCACUCAGAUCUGCUGUCCUCACAGCCACCUCCCCAAGAGGAAUGAAGGUAUUUCUUUUUUUUUUUUCUUUUUUUUCUCUGAGACGGAGCUUCACUCUGUCGCCCAGGCUGGAGUGCAGUGACGCGAUCUCGGCUCACUGCAACCUCUGCCUCCCGAGUAGCUGGGAUUACAGGCGCCUGCCACCACGCCCGGCUAAUUUUUUGUAUUUUUAGUAGAGACGGGGUUUCACCAUCUUGGCCAGGCUGGUCUCGAACUCCUGACCUCAGGUGAUCCGCCCGCCUCGGCCUCCCAAAGUGCUGGGAUUACAGGCGUGAGCCACCGCGCCCUGCCGGAAUGAAGAUAUUUCUGUUAGUGCGAUUUUUGCGCCAAUCCCUUUGCUCUUUCAAAUAAGCAUUACCGUACCCAUUUUAGCGGUGAGGCAACUGAAGCCCAGAGAGGUUAAAUAACUUGCCCAAAGCCUCACAGCAAAGUUGAGGAAGUAAAACUGGGCCUGGAAUCCACUCGUCUGAUCCCCUGGCACAUGACGCAAGGCUUGACCUUAGAGGGACUCGUUUCCAGACAGAGCUCUGGCAAAGGAGUGUCUUGGGCAGCUUAGGAGUAGAAGAGGAAAGGUGAAUGGAAACCAGGCCUUGGGUUAUGAGCUGCGCAGGAUUUUCCAGCAUCUCAGAUGCAGGCGUUUAGAGAAAGAGAUAUAAUGGAGCAGGCCCUACUCAGAGCCACGAAAAGGAAUGAGGACAGUUGGCUCUAACUCAAAACAAAAAUAGGGUAAACCCAAUCAGUCAAGCGCAGCAACCUGCUCCGUGGCGAUCUGUGACUCAUCAGAAGCUGAGGCUCUCACCAGGACUUUCUAAUGAGCUUCGCUGUUGGCUACGACCGCGGUCACUUCACUUCAGCCCUACUCCUGGCCUGGGGAAAUGGGCAGGCCCCCUAGUAGCUCGGGGUGGGGAGACGGGUGGAGAGGAAGGAGGGGCGAAAAGGGAAGGCGCGAAAUCUACAAAUGUUUAAGCCAGCUGGAACUCCGAUGCCUCUUUGCCUUUUAGGGAAAUUGACUCGACUCGGAACUCGAGGACCUUUCACAAGAGACCACUGGGUUAGGGGGCAGAGCUGGUAAUAGAAUCCAGCGCUCCGAACCCUGAAUCAUGUCCUCUUUUUGCUGCUGAGGCUCAGGCCACAGCACCCCAAAUUAUGACUGUAGAAUACCAAAAUAUGCUAUCCCAAAAUACACUUGUUUGGCACAUUUCAAGCUGGUUAUUCUGAGAAACUGCAGACACGGGAGUAGCUCUGAAAAGCUGUCCUUUUGUAAAGCAAAUUUACAUCUAUAAAGGAAGUCCACAUAGUAAAAGUAUCUGUGUCAGGAAGGCAGCUGCUCAGAGAACUUUUAUUACAUGAGAGACUUUACAUAACAAGGCAACAUUAUUUACCAUACAUUUCCUCCACUAACCCUCCUAUAUCCUACCUGUGGUGCCUCCCCACUGUCCCCACAGAAGCCCCAAGCCCUUAUUUAUUUCUAGCUCAGAAUGCUAUAAGCUUCAAUCAUCUGGCCCUUCAUGUUUUGUGAGAUUCCUGUGCUGCUGCGUAUGCAGUGAAACUUCAGAGGGUAAAGGGGAAGUUUGCCCUUCACCCCUACAUGGUCAAGCUCAAGAUACCAAAAGACAUCAGCUGAAAAUUCAAUCAACUUGCCUGAAUCAUCCACCCCAAGCUUAGGAAGCAUGCUUGAACCCACCUGGCCAAGGCUGGUUUUGCCGGCCAAAGUCCAAGGCCAAGGCUCCAACCAAAGCCCAGACUUCAGUUGCAGCUCCAGUUCCAGUUCCAGUUCCAGCUCCAGUUCCAGUUCCAGUUCCAGCUCCAGAUCAAAUUUCCAAGGGUGCCCAUGCACACCCACAAAGGAUCUGGAGGAGAGGCCUCUGUCUACCAAUGGGAGGACAGAAGGACUGGUGUGAGCCCUGGGCUGCCAUCUGUUUCUGCAUGGAGCUGGUACCAUUCUUUUCUAUUUAUACAAACAAACAUGAGGCAGGAUCUGUCCAUUAAAAAAAAGAGGCCGGGCACAGUGGCUCAUGCCUAUAAUCCCAGCAUUUUAGGAGGCCGAGGUGGGUAAAUCACCUGAGGUUGGGAGUUCGAGACCAGCCUGGCCAAUAUGGUGAAACCUCUUCUCUACUAAAAAUACAAAAAUUAGCCGAGCGUCGCGGCACAUCUUUAAUCCCAGCUCCUCAGGAGGCUGAGGCACAAGAAUCACUUGAACCCAGGAGGUGGAGGUUGCAGUAAGCCGAGAAAACACCACUACACUCCAGCCUAGGCGACAGAAUGAGGCUCCAUCUUGAAAAGAAAAAGAAAAUUAAAAAGAAACAGUCUAUACAGGCUCAUUCCCUUUCCCCACUCAGAGUUUUUUCAAAGGAAUGUGGCCAGAUCUGGAGGUUUACCUGCCUUCUGGCUCUGAGGACUUUGCAGUUACUAUUUAAGGUCUGGUUAAUAGCUUCCUUUGCAUCGUGGUUGGUUAACAAGAGUAG
rnacentral:lncRNA from 1 species